GAAAUGCGAUCAGUAGUGUGAAUUGCAGAAUUCAGUGAAUCAUCGAAUCUUUGAACGCACAUUGCGCCCUUUGGUAUUCCAAAGGGCAUGCCUGUUCGAGCGUCAUUUGUACCCUCAAGCUUUGCUUGGUGUUGGGCGUCUUGUCUCUAGCUUUGCUGGAGACUCGCCUUAAAGUAAUUGGCAGCCGGCCUACUGGUUUCGGAGCGCAGCACAAGUCGCACUCUCUAUCAGCAAAGGUCUAGCAUCCAUUAAGCCUUUUUUUCAACUUUUGACCUCGGAUCAGGUAGGGAUACCCGCUGAACUUAAGC
rnacentral:misc_RNA from 1 species